rnacentral:rRNA from 1 species
CAGUAGCGCGGUAAUACAGAGGGUGCGAGCGUUAAUCGGAUUUACUGGGCGUAAAGCGUGCGUAGGCGGCUUUUUAAGUCGGAUGUGAAAUCCCUGAGCUUAACUUAGGAAUUGCAUUCGAUACUGGGAAGCUAGAGUAUGGGAGAGGAUGGUAGAAUUCCAGGUGUAGCGGUGAAAUGCGUAGAGAUCUGGAGGAAUACCGAUGGCGAAGGCAGCCAUCUGGCCUAAUACUGACGCUGAGGUACGAAAGCAUGGGGAGCAAACAGGAUUAGAUACCCCAGUAGUCCCUGUCUCUUAUACA